rfam:Cryptococcus pinus CBS 10737 unplaced genomic scaffold supercont1.1, whole genome shotgun sequence.
UGCCCCAUGGCCAAGCUGGUUAAGGCAUCCGACUGUUAAAAAGCAGCACCUCUCCGGGUUCAUCGGAAGAUCGACGGUUCGAUCCCGUCUGGGGCAG